rfam:Schistosoma mansoni, Puerto Rico, WGS project CABG01000000 data, contig: 0144
AUCCAGCUGAAGAGUUUCAAAUAGGACGAAACGUGUGUCAUGGAU